rnacentral:rRNA from 1 species
CGAAAGCCUGACGGAGCAACGCCGCGUGUGGGAAGAAGGCCUUUGGGCUGUCAACCACUUUUCUCAGGGAAGAAGCUCUGACGGUACCUGAGGAAUCAGCCUCGGCUAACUCCGUGCCAGCAGCCGCGGUAAUACGGAGGAGGCAAGCGUUAUCCGGAAUUAUUGGGCGUAAAGCGUCCGCAGGGGGCUCAUCAAGUCUGCUGUCAAAGGUCGGAGCUCAACUCCGGUUCGGCAGUGGAAACUGGAUAGCUAGAGGUCGGUAGGGGCAAAGGGAAUUCCCAGUGUAGCGGUGAAAUGCGUAGAUAUUGGGAAGAACACCGAUGGCGAAAGCGCUUUGCUGGACCGAACCUGACGCUGAGGGACGAAAGCUAGGGGAGCG